UCCCAAAGUGCUGGGAUUAUAGGCAUGAGCCACCACACCCAGCCUCAAAAUGGUUAACAAUCAUUGACUAUCUCUUCCUGUUUGGGGAUGAGGCAUUAAAAGCUGCUCAGAAGUUCCAGCAGAAGGGGCCGCUCCUAAGAGACACAGGACCAGAAAAUACAGACUCAAAAGUAGGCCUUGGUGCCCCGGGACUGCCCCUUAUCCUCCAGUGGGCCUUUGCGUCUGUUCUAGGCUCAGAGAGAGCAGAAGGGAAAACGGGGACCACUCUAGGUGGUGUAUGGAGGGUUGUAAAUGCUCUGUGCGCUGCCCAGUGUGAUGUUUCUCAGCCUCACCACAGGUCAUCCAGGGGUGGAAUUCUUCUGGUUUAUGUUGAUGCUGAAUUAUUCUAUUUGGCGGGAGCCUUGCCACCCUGGGCUUCAGGGAAACCCUCUUCCAGGGCCCCCUGGAUUUUUCCCAUUUUACCAGGCUUGCUGGAUGCAUUUGGAUUCACAUUCUUCCCCAACAACUGCUGUCACAGCUGUGGAUCAGCUACUGCAAUGAGAAGCUGAAGCAGCACUCUGUGACUGACGAACUGAGGGCCCAGCAGGUGUGGCCGGCAGACAAAUCCGGACAUCUGUACUUUCUCCAGGCUCCUGCCCCUCCCAGGUAGCAGAGUCUGCUGCGCUUGGAUGCCAGUGGGAAGAAUGCGUUCUUGGGGAGAGAGUGGACCCUUCCCUGGGCUCACAGGAGAAGACGGGGCUGGAGCGGGCAGUGGAGCUGUCCAGAGUGAGCAAGUGUCUGCGGAAUCCGGGAUGCAGCGUGUGAAUGGAGCUCCACACUCUCCCAGCUUCCUGGCCCGGGACAAGCAUUGGCACUCUCUGGGCCACCUCAGGAAAUCUCGAACCUCCUAGGCAAUUCCAGUUUGAGUCAGCCCUGCGAGCAUCCAGGGUCCUGCUCUGUCGCCCAGGCUGGACACUCACUGCA